AGAAAGUAGAAGACACAAGGAUGAUAUUGAAAGAAAGGUAUCACUUUAAUUCUGGUCCAUUGAUGCAACAAGCACGCAACAUUUUGAAACAGAUGGAUGGUAAAGUGAUGAAGAAUGAAUUUGAUAUUCAAAUUCUUGAUUUAUUGGCGAGUUCUUGGCCAGACAGACCACCAGUUGAGAAAAGCUGGAACUAUUGAAGGAUAUGAAGACUGGUUUAUUAGAAGAAGGGAAAGCUACCUUACUCACGAAAAUGUCUUUGGAAGAAGGGAAGCCAGAUCCUGUCACAUAGAGGAUAAAAUAUUCAUUGCACCACCG
rnacentral:lncRNA from 13 species